GGAACAGGGUCAAGAAAAUAUUUUACCACCGAGAUGAAAAACGUUAUAAACGUUCAACAAAUUGAUGAGACUUACGAAGUUUUGCCGCCUCGGUGAGGGCAGCGAAGGCGAUAAGCAAAACGGCCAAUCGUGACAUUUUGUUUGAUCCUGCUGGAUGCGGAGCCGAGCUUUUAUAUCUUCACCCCUCCAAAGUCCGGCGUCCUUUUCCUCCUCCAUUUCUUCGCGGGCCUCUUGACUUCUACCAGGUCCGGCUUUUGUUUUUUGGCCUGUUGAUUUAAUAUAUAUCGUGCGUACGGUUUUUAGAAGAAUGAGAAGAAAUAAAAGUAAGGGUAAUCCACGGACGGGUGUCUUAAAGGGUCUAGGCCAGACUGUUGAACGUUUUGGGUGUGUCGGCAGUCGGCACAGGCGAACCUUUCUAAGGGCGUUCACCCGUCCUGUUAUGUCGCAACGGCAAUUAUUCAAAAUCAUAGGUAUAAUGCAAAGGAUAAACCGCAGAGUGGUCCUGACCGGUGGAACGCAUUCUAUACGUCAAAUACGUCAAAGGAAGGAAAAGGAAGGACAAAAAAUAUGUCCAAAAUAACUGCCUUUUUGGCGAGAAAAAAUAUUCAAGUAUUUUUGUAACCAAUACAUCGGAAGCAUUAAGAAAGACGGUUCUAAUAUAAUUUUUAUGCAAAGGACGAUCAUUUAAAUGAUGAUUUCAUCGGAAAAAUAUAUUAAAGAUGAAUUUACGUCAAAUGGCUUAUUUAUGGUUUUGGAAUCUCAGGCUCUGUUUGUAUUUGAUCCAGUAAAAAAAUUUAAAUUGAAAACGUGGGUUAAGACUCCACUCCAACCAUGGAGGAGACUCAAUAAGAAUUGCCGCAGUACCUUAAUCAUGAUCAGUAUGGAAUAUUUGUCAAAACCCAAAACUCGGCAAUGUAUCCUUGGAUAUACAAGCACAAAUAUACACAAUAAUCCCGUCGUACGAAUUUAUUUCUUUAUUAAUCACUUUUUAGCUCAAUUGCAAGAAGUCGCUUUGAAUCAAAACAAAGUAACCGGAACGUAACAAGCAAUGGUGAACAAGAAUGGAAGAAACAGAAAAAAUGCUACCCAUUGGUAUCACUCCAAAUUUCUUGCAUUACAAUUCACUUUCACUAUCUUCAAUAUACAGGAGUUCUCUGGGCCAUUCCUCUUUAGCCUACUUGGAAGUUGUGUAGGGAUUCGGCGUGAUGAGAGCUGUCGAUGAGUGGGUUUAAUGACCAAGUGAUUUUUGGAACUUACGAUAUCUUCGUAGGAAGGUAUUGCGCAAGGGGGGUAGAUGUAGAUGUAGAUGUAA